UAAUAUUCCAUUGUACAGGCUGCAUGUUUUUAUCACCUCAUUGUCGGUUAACAGUUGAAUUGUUUUAAUUCAUGACUCGAGAUUAAUGCUGUCAUCACCUUGAAGGAAACUUUGGGGAGGCAGAGUUUCAUUUCUCUUGGAAACAACGGGGCCAGCAGAGACAGAGCAAGUAUGAAGAGCCCUCUACAAGGCAACCAUCACCUCCUGACCGGCCUUUGCCUCCUGGUGACUUUGGGACUUCAGUGUGACUCUCACUAUAGGUGGGUGAAGCUGCCUAGGUAGCCCAAGAAGAUGGCCGUGUGUCCUCCGUGAACCCCUAUCCACCUGUCAAGAGCUAAUUGUGGAAUGACCAAGAAGUGACUCUCUGGAAUCUUCCAUGUGCGGCUGAGGCUACCUGCCUGGUGAAGUCAGGUAGACAUUUAGUCAUCAUCAGCCUCUGGAAGUCAAGGUCAACACAGUGUCCAGACCCCACCUCUCUGAAGGACAGGUCUCCCAUCCGCAGGAUGGACAUCAGGAUCACCAGGCAUCUCCAGAUGUCAUGAAAGCUGAACCACAGAUCCAGAGACCUUGGGUCCAGAAGAGACUUCUCUUUCCACAGAAAUACGAAGGCAAACAUUGAUUGUCACCCAAGGCCACGGCUUCCUUACUCCCAGAGCUGACUUGACACGUACCAGGACUGUAAUAAUAAAAACACGAGUCUUAAUGACCAUUCUGGAAG